rnacentral:rRNA from 1 species
CCUACGGGAGGCAGCAGUAAGGAAUAUUGCUCAAUGGGCGAAAGCCUGACGCAGCGACGCCGCGUGGGGGAUGAAGGUCUUCGGAUUGUAAACCCCUUUCGGGAGGGAAGAUGGGAUGGGGUAACCCAUUCGGACGGUACCUCCAGAAGCAGCCACGGCUAACUUCGUGCCAGCAGCCGCGGGUAAU